rnacentral:lncRNA from 1 species
AUGUUUUGUCUGCCUUUAUCUUCAUCCACACAAGUGCAGAAGUUGAAUGAAAGUUUUUUGGGAGACUUAAAAGAUCAGAAGUCCCUGUACCAGCCCCUGCCAUGGCUGAUCUGCAGCACCAUUGAAUGUGAUCAUCAGGAACUGACUAGAAAAUGCCUYGAAAAAUUGUGAAAUGGGACAAGUAUGGAGCUAAUUUUUUUUGUCAAUCCUGUGGUGCUCCAGUGUUCCAAACAUUCUCAGCAUUUGCAUCCAAAAAAGGUAAGUGAGGCUGGAACAUAAUUUCUAAAAAAUGAAGGUAAAA